rnacentral:rRNA from 1 species
GACGAACGCUGGCGGCGUGCUUAACACAUGCAAGUCGAACGGAAAGGCCCUGCUUUCGUGGGGUGCUCGAGUGGCGAACGGGUGAGUAACACGUGAGUAACCUGCCCUAGACUUUGGGAUAACUUCAGGAAACGGGGGCUAAUAUAGGAUAGGAUCCCCUGUAGCAUGGAGGGGGUUGGAAAGUUUCGGCGGUUGGGGCUGGACGCGCGGCUGAUGGGCUUGUUGGUGGGGUAGGGGCUUACCAAGGCUUUGACGGAUAGGCGGCCUGGGAGGGUGACCGGCCUCAUUGGGCCUGCGAUACGGCGCAGACUGCUACAGUAGGCAGCAGUGGGAAAUAUUACACAGUGGGCGCGCGCCUGUUACGGCAACGCCGCGUGCGGGAUGCCGGCCUUCGGGUUGUGAACCGCUUUCGCCUGUGACGCAGCGUGAGUGACGGUAAUGAGUAAAGAAGCACCGGCUAACUACGUG